AGUGGUGUUUACAACUAAUUGAUCACAACCAGUUACAGAUUCCUUUGUUCUUUUUCUACUCCCACUG
rnacentral:sRNA from 1 species